UUGCUGUGUAAUAACCCUCAAUUAACGUUACUUCCAUCGAGUGUGAUCCAGAAGUCAAGGCCAAACGCAUCAAUUCUUCUUCAGUACAUAUAGUCGUCACUAAUCAUGGUUCUGUCUCUGUGUAUGUGCACUUACUGUUUAGCUGAGCCCCCCAAAAGUAGGUUAGUGUGCAAGAUGUGCCGCCGAGACGCGAUACGUCAUUCGCCUUACUGCCUUCCUGCCCGCCCGUUCGGAUCCGUUUUUUUACAGCUUACUCCGCUCCGUUUGCAAGUGCAUAAUUGCUUGAAUGUAGUGUGCGGUCGACGGUGCAUGUCAAUAACUUUCUCCGCGAACAUUGCACGACGUCGCGCACAGGCAGAGGAAACAAAAGCUCAUUUCUUGUUUAGGAGGAGGGCGCGUAUGUUUACGAAUUCCGGUCGUCAUACUGGUGGGGCUUUGUUUACCGUGUGAUUCCUCCCUGAAUGAGUCCCCCCUUUUCUCUCUCGAUGUGAAGGUGGAAUGAAAGCAGGGCAUUGUUCGAAGUUGGCUGCGGCAUAUCGGAGAUGUGUCAAUGUUUACUUUUUUAUUCAUGUUCAUGUGUAUUGUGACAGUUGGAAGCAUCGAUGGUUCAACAUUGAAUUUUCAGUGUCACUUUCCAUCAGACCAUCCAUUUUCAAUACUGUUCUGUACAGGAAAAUUAGGGCAAAUUUUUGAAGCUAAUUUUGUUAAAGAAGUUGUCUCUGUUUGUGAAAUAUUUGAAUAAAUGUAUUAAUGUUUUGUUUUA